UUAUUGGAGAGUUUGAUCCUGGCUCAGGACGAACGCUGGCGGCGUGCCUAAUACAUGCAAGUCGAGCGGACUUGAUGAGGAGCUUGCUUCUCUGA
rnacentral:rRNA from 1 species